UACGAAGGGGGCUAGCGUUGCUCGGAAUCACUGGGCGUAAAGCGCACGUAGGCGGAUUGCUAAGUCAGGGGUGAAAUCCUGGAGCUCAACUCCAGAACUGCCCUUGAUACUGGCGGUCUCGAGUCCGGGAGAGGUGAGUGGAACUGCGAGUGUAGAGGUGAAAUUCGUAGAUAUUAGGAAGAACACCAGUGGCGAAGGCGGCUCACUGGACCGGCAUUGACGCUGAGGUGCGAAAGCGUGGGGAGCAAAGCAGGAUUAAGAA
rnacentral:rRNA from 1 species